rnacentral:rRNA from 1 species
UACGGGGGGAGCAAGCGUUGUUCGGAUUUACUGGGCGUAAAGGGCGCGUAGGCGGCGUGACAAGUCACUUGUGAAAUCUCCGGGCUUAACUCGGAACGGUCAAGUGAUACUGUCGUGCUAGAGUACAGAAGGGGCAACUGGAAUUCUCGGUGUAGCGGUGAAAUGCGUAGAUAUCGAGAGGAACACCAGUGGCGAAGGCGAGUCUCUGGACAUUUCCUGACGCUGAGGCACGAAAGCCAGGGGAGCAAACGGG